ACAGGUACGUGGGCGGGCGGAUCGUGGUGGCUGCGCUUGCGAGGACCCUGAGGUAGAUUGGGUGGUUUCAACAGGAACGCAUCCACUGUCUGAGAGUUUAAACUUGAUUUUGUGAGGGGACGAACAGCGUGACAAUUAAAAGAAGAUCUGGGAAUCGUAAGUACUGACAGAAUACCUGGAGGGAAGGUGGGACUGGAGAAUAGUUUGUGAAACAGAUCCUGCUGAGGAUGAAUCCAGAACUUCCUGAAGGGUUCCGCUUCUGCUGUGUAGGGACAAGGUUGUAAAUAGACAAGCCACAGGCACCUGCAAAUGGUAAGUGUGGUAGAGAGGGGCUGGAAUUGCCUGUUGGUGUAUCUGUGGGAAGCAGCUGCUAUCCUUGAGGAAGAAAAGAUGGAGAAGGUAAGUGGCUAUCAACCUGUCAGAGACAACACAUUCUGUGAAGUUGUACUCUUUCAUUUCUGACACUGUGGUUCUUAAUAUCUGUCCUAAACCUGGCAGUCAUUGAGGUUCGCAAAGUAUCUCCUUCUAUGUGACAGUAAAACUGGAAUUACUAUCAGAAUGGAAUCCAUUCCUGCUAGAGUAAAACCAUGAAAAGAAAUCGCAGUUUUGAUUAUCUGCUUAUCAUUUUUAAUAGAUCACAGAGUGCAGUGUUCCUUAUUUGUUGUAUGGCAAGUUGAUGAAUAACUCUUGAUUAAUAUCUUUUAAUGUUCUGUUUCACACAGUUCUCUCAAUUACAUGUGAAAAAUCUGUUAUAUAAGUAAUGCUAUUUAAUGAUUAAAAUGGAUAUAUGUUUUAAGGUAGUGCCACCCAGUCUUUUUUUUUUGGUAGAAUAAUAUUAUUAUCUAUUGGUUGCCUGCCUUGAAGUACAGUAAUUUCUCUGUUUCCAUUAUUUAAAAUAGGUGAGUGUCUUUGACAAAGAUACAAAGAAAGGGGACAGUUAUGAAAGGGAAGAAAAGAUAGAUGGAGAUGAAAAGAAAUUCAGUAGUUUCAGCAAGGGAAUUAGGAGCAUAAUCUUUGAGAAAAGUCUUGGUUGCUUACCAUUCGGGCUUUGUGAUGAGUUGAAAUGUCCUGAAUGAGAACUGUUCUCAAAUGCUUUCAAGACCAACAAAAAGUACGAUACCCACACUGACCUGGAACUCUUUAAACCAUUAAGAUAUAUCACUUUUUCGCAGUUCAGUCCAUAUUUUUUGCAAAAUGUUCUGCUUAGUUUUUCUGCUAAGAAAUUACUGUUUCUGAACAAGGUUAAGUGUCGUAUGCUUUCAUUGUAGUUUUUUUUCCCCUAACAUAUACUGUUUUCCUAAUUAGACUAUAAAUUCCUCCACAGCUGGGACCUUGUUUUGUUUUCUCGCCUUCCCCAUAACAAAUAUCAUUUAAGUGAAUGUUGUAAACAGUUACUUCAUUUAAAUUGCCCUUAAAAUGCUUUAUGACAAAGACGUUAUUUGUAGUAAUACCUAUAAUGGUAAAAAGUUUGUUGCAGUCUUACAGACGAUAAGAUUGAUCAAUUGUUAUAUAUGCUUAGUGGAAUUUUAUCUAGCUGUUCUAAAGAGCCAUUAGACUAGUCUUUCUAAUGGAAAAUGUUUAUUGUCUAAGUUAAAACAGCAUUUGAGGCCAGGCACAGUGGCUCACUCCUGUUAUUGCAGCACUAUGGGAGGCUGAGGUGGGAGGAUCACUAGAGCACAAGAGUUGGAGACUAGCCUAGGCAAUAUAGUGAGACCUCUUCUCUACAAAAAAUUUAAAAAUUAGCUGAGUGUGAUGGGGUGUGCCCGUAGUUCCAGCUACUCAGGAGACUGAGGUGGGAGGAUCACUUGGGUCCAAGAGGUAGAUGUUGCAGUAAACCAAGAUCAUGCCACUGCACUGCAGCCUGGGCAACAGAGCAAGAUCCUGUCUCAAAAAAUUAAAAAGCAUUUUAUAGACUGCAUGUUUGUGUCCCCCCUCCCUCCGCACCAGAAUUCAUAUAUUGAAGCCUUAAUCUCCAAUGACAUGAUAUUAGUAGGUGGGGCCUUUGGGGGGUGAUUAAAUAAUAAGGGUGAAGCCCUGCAUGGGAUUAGUGCCUUUACAACAAGAGACCCUAGACAGCUUGCUUCCACUCUUUCUUUGCUCUUCACCAUGUGAGGACACAGCAAGAAAACAGACAACUACAAAUCAGGAAGAGGGCCUAAUUUGUGCCAACCAUGCUGGCACUCUUCUCUAACUUCCCAGCCUCCAGAACUGUGAGAAAUAAAUUUCUGUUGUUUAAGUCACCCAGUUUAUGGUAGUUUGGUUAUAGUUGCCCAUAUUAAGACAGCAGGAUGCAAAAUUGUGGCCAGUAUGAUUGCUUUGACAUGAAACAAAUUUUAAGCACAAAUUGCAAAAAGUAACCAAAAUAUAUCAAUCCCCACUGCUGGCAUUAACACUCUAAAACAAACUUUGUAUAUUGGGGGAUUUUAUUUAUUUAUUUAUUUAUUUUUUUUGCUGACCAUAGUGACUCAUGCCUAUAAUCCCAGCACUUUGGGAGGCCGAGUUGGGCAGAUCACUUGAGGCCAGGAAUUCAAGACCAGCCUGGCCAACAUGGCAAAACCCCCUCUUUACAAAAAUAUAAAAAUUAACCAGGCAUGGUGGCACACCCCUGUAGCCCCACCUACUUGGGAGGCUGAGGUGGGAGGAUCGCUUGGGCCUGUGAAGCAGAGGUUGCGGAGAGCUGUGAUGGCACCACUGCACUCCAGCCUGUGUGACAGAGCGAGACUAUCUCAAGAAAAAAAAAAAAGGAUGAGGAUUUUUUUUGUUUUCAACAUGCUUUUUAACAUCCACUAUAUUACUCUCAUCUUUCUAGGCUGGAAAAAAAAAUGUUUUAAAUGUUAUUCUGAAGUAUAUUGCAACCUUUAACAAUUCAGUAGACUUCUGAAUUUUUAUUUUCAUGUAGCUUACCACAGUUGUAUCUAGGAAUAUAUCACAUAGCUGAUUAAUUGGUGAAAUAACCCUUGCAAUUUUACACAGGUUGUACAGUGCACAUUUUCAAGGACCACUCACAUACAUCCAUUUGAUAUUUUUUGGUAUCAAGAAAGUCUUUAAACAAUCAGUACCACCAAUAGCAGUAAAAAGACAAAACUGUCUGAAAGUACCUAUCUGUUUAAAACUUUAAUUAGCUUUAUCCAUCCAUUAAAUAGUUAUUGAAUAUAAAACUGUAUCAUUCACUCUUCUACACUCUGAGGAAAUAGUGGUAAAUAAAGCAGAUAUUGUCCCUACUAUCAGGAAAUUUACAUUUUAGUAGUAAUAAGCCAUAAAUUAACAAAAACAGAAGACAGUGGUAAGUACUAGGCAUGAAAUUCAAACAUGACUAUUUUAGAUUAGGUGAUUAAAGAAACUAAAAUACCAUUUAAGCUGCUGUGUAAAUGACAAGAGAAUCCAGCUUUGUAAAAAUUGGUGAACCCUUUGCUUGCAGAAGGGACAACUGCAAAAUCUAAGGCAUGAUCUAGCCUGGAAUAUUUCAGGAGCCAAAAGAAGGCCUGCAUGGUUAGAGAAUAGUGACUUAAGACGCAAAUACUGUAACUUUGGAGGGAUAGGAAAGGGCUAGAUCAUGUUACCUUUGAAAGACAGGAAAGAGUUUAGAUUUUAUUCUAUGUGCAAUGGAAAAAAAAAUGAGAGCAUUUUAAUCCAAAGAGUAAUAUAAGAUAAUAUAUUUUUAAAAUCCACUUUGGUAAUUUGUUAAUUGGCAUAAAGAGUCAGCUUUCAUGUAACAUAAUUACUAACAUACUUGGAUUUAAAUUUGUCAUUAUUCUUAUUUUAUUUGUCCCACCUCUUAUAUGUUCAUUUUGUCUUCUUUUGCCUUUUUGAUUUUUUUUUUUCUUAAUUAGGCCAUAGCACCUGAUAUUCCCAGGCAGACUCUCAUCCAAGUGCCAAUCAGCCCCAGCCCUGCUUAGCUUCCCAGAUCAGAUGAGAACAGGCAUAUUCAGGGUGGUAUGGCUAUAGACCUUUUAGAUUAUUUUUAAUUAUUCCAUUUUUUCUACCUCAUAAGCUUGACAGAUGUCUUUUAGUAUCUUUUUACUGUUCACCUCAGGUAUUAAAACAUGGAACCUUGGUUUAUCAUCUUUAAGAUAAUUUGGUAUUAUACUUCUUCCAGGACAAUGUAAGGACCUGCGAACACAUCAACUUCAUUUACUGCCACACCUCAUGUUAUAUACAUUGUAUAUUCUUAAUAUGUAUUUCCUAAAUUCUCAAGACAUUUUUUAUACAAUAUGAAUUUACAUUUCAUAUUGUAUAAAACAUUUACUUUUUCUAUUGUGUUUCGUGGUUCCUGGAAUCUGAGCUUCCAUCUAAGACCUUAUUUCUUCUUGAAGGACAUACUUUAAUAUUUCUUCGAAUAUCUACUGGUAACAAUUCAUUCAGAUUUUCUGUCCUGACACUGUCUUAUUUUACUUUCAUUUUCUAAGAACGUUUUUGCUGAAUUAGCAGCUAUUUUAUCAUUUUGAAGAUAUAUUUUAUUCCUUCUGGCUUCCAUUAUGUCCUCUAAGACAUAAUGUCCAUUUUGUUUUUUUCUCUUCAAAGGUAAUCUUUUUUUGGAUGGCUACUUUUAAGAGGUUUGUCUUAAGUUUGGUGUGCCCACAUGUGUUUUGUGUUUGUUUUUUUGUGUGUGUGGUUUUUUUCUGCUUCGAGAUUGAUAAUGUUUCUUGAAUCUGGCUGUGAUGUCCUUAGGCUGUUUGAGAAAAUUCUUAGCUCUGUUUGAUCAGACAUUGCUUCUGCUUUCACUCUCCUUUCUCCUCUUCUUUUGAUACUCCACUUACAUUUGUAUUUGACAAUUCACUUUGUCCCUUGUAUUUUCCAUUUAUUUUCUUGUCUGUUUCAUCCUGAAUAUUUCUUCUUAACUUUCAGUUCACUAUUUUCUCUUAGUAGUCUCGAAUUUGUUAAAUCUCUCUUGAAGCAUUUAUUUUAGUUAUAUUUUUGGUUAUCAGUUCAAACAUUUCUACUUGAUUCUGUUUUAUUGUUUCCAGUUGUUUAUCCAAUAUCUCAAUCUUUUAUUUCCUCAAACAUACUAAUCAUAAUUACUUUAAAACCUGUAUCUAAUAACUAUGGUGUCUGCUAUUAUCUGACACUUUUCUUGUUUCUUGCUGUUAUCACAUUGUCUUGCUUUUAUGUCCCUUAUUUUUAUGUUAUUUUGUAUUAUUUAUUUUAUAAACAUUAUAAAUAUAUAAAACUUGGCUUAGGUUAUGUUUUAAUUGAAUGUCAGAAUUGUUUUGAUUGAACUGUAUAUGAGGAAACUAUACUUUGAAGUCCAAUAUGAUGGUAUUUUCUAAAGAAAGAAUUUAUGUCUCCUGGCAAGACCUUUGGACACUAGUAAUCUAAGAUCUUCUUAAUCUGGUUAGUGAUAGAGACAAUUAGAAUAUAGGCAGGUCUAUUUCCUGUUCAUACUUUCACAAUGUAGACCUCUGAAGUCCCAACUCAAGCAUGCAGAGUUUACCAGAUCAGGCCCUAAACUUCAGUUUUUGUCUUUUUAAUUCUAUGGGUUAGAAACUCUGUUCAACUUUUCAGCCAUCACCUCAGGAAUCAGAAGAUACUCCAGAGGAAAAGCUAAUGUAAAUGCUGGAUUCAACAACUCUGUUUUUUCCUUCUGAAUAUUUCAUUGUCUCUAAUGCUGUCAGAUGUUUGUUUUAUAUUUUGUCCAAGCUGAGUGUGGUGGCUCACGUCUGUAAUUUCAGCACCUUGGGAGGCCAAGGCGGGACCAUCCCUUGAGGCCAGGAAUUUGAGACUAGCCUAGGCAACAUAACAAGACCUUUGUCUCUUGGAAAAAAAUAAAUAAAUAAAUAUUAUUAGAAGUGAAAAUGGGGAUGUUGUUACAAAUGCUGUGGAGAUUGAUGAGAAAUUAUGAACAACUUAAUAAUAAAUGGGAAAAUAUAAAUGAAGUAGGCAGUUCCAGAAAAUGUAACUUUUCAAAAGCCAUGUAAUGGAAAAUAUAAAUGGUGGGAUGUUGAUGUAAGAAAUCAUGAUGCCCAGAGACUUUUGCCAAACCUUCAAAGGACAGAUCAUUACAAUUUUACACAAACCAUUCCACAGUAUAUUCCACUUAUAUACUGUGGAAUUGGCCCUUACUGCCCUUAUCAAAUUUAACAUCAAGGUUACAGAAGCUUAAUAUUACUGCCCUGAUUUUAUUAGGGCAGUAAUGAUUUGAUAAGGGCAGUAAGAAUUACAGCCCUGUCAUAUUCGCAAAGACAAAAAUCCUAAAUAAAACAGACCUUAGAAAAUGUGUUUUUAAGAAAAGAUAAUAAAACAUGAUCAGGUUGAAUUUAACCCAGGAAUGUAUUUUAGUAUAUUAAGAGAUUAGAAAAACUAUCUGGCUAUCUGAACAGAUGCAGGAAAAGAAAACUAUUUGAAAAAAUUAACAGACAUAGAUAAACCUUUGGGCAAAUUAGAAUUGUGUAGAACUUCCUUGAGCCAAUAAAACCUACAACAACAAUAUUUUAAGAUGAAGUAUUUGAAGCAGUCCAUUAGAAUCAGGAACAAGUACUAUGUUGGAGAUCCUAGCCAGCAUUAUAAGGCAAGAAAAACAAAAGAUUAAAAAUUGUAAAUAAACAUAACUUAGUCUACAGAUAAAUUAUUGAAGAGCUUUGCAAGGAUUCUGAAUAUACUAUUGAUAUGGUUUGGAUCUGUGUCCCUACCCAAAUCUCAUGUUGAAUUGUAAUCCCCAAUGUUGGAGGUGAGGCCUGGUGGGAGAUUGGAUCACGGGAAUGGGUUUCUCAUUCGUGGUUUAGUACCAUCCUCUUGGUACUGUCCUUGAAAUAGUUCUUAGGAGAUCUGGUAAUUUAGAAUUGUGUGGUACCUCUCCCCUCUCUCUUGCUCUUGCUCCCCCUUUGCCUUCCACCAUGAUUGGAAGCUUCCUGAAGCUGCCUCAGAAGCAGAAGCCACUAUGCUUCCUGUACAGCUUGCAGAACCAUGAGCCAAUUAAACCCCUUUUCUUUAUAAAUUACUCAGUCUCCAGUAUUUAUAGCAAUGUGAAAACAGAUAAUAUGACUAUCAAUAUACAAAAGUGAAUUGCAUUUCUUUCCAGCAGAAAUGAACUGUUAGAAAAUGAUUUUUGUAACAUACCAUUUACUAUAUUCCUUUAAAAAUAUAAAUUAGGUAACUUAACAAAAGGUAUAGAAGACCUCUGUAGAAAAUUACAAAACUUUAUUGACAGGCAUUUAAAAAUGUCUAAUUUUAAAAUUGCCAUGUUCAAUGAUUAAAAGACUCGAGUUAAGAUGGCAGUUCUCCACUACACAAUGAAGGUAAUUGCAAUACAAAUCCCAAAUGAGUUUUUCAAGGAGCUUGACAAACUGAUUCUAAAGUCUGUAUGACAAAAAGCAGAAUUCAGGAUACUCCAGAAGCAGAUUUAAGAUAGAAUUGACUUGUAGAUAUUCGUAACAGCAAAAAAAUAAAAACAACUCAAAUAUCCAUCAAAAGAUAAAAUGUUUAUCCAUGAAAAGAUACUCAAAAAGUGACACCUUUAUAUAAUGGGAUAUAUUUGGCUGCAAAAAGGAAUGAACUGCUAAUACCUGCUAUAAUGUGGAUAAACCUUGAAAGCCUGCUGAAAUAAAGAAGCCAGUCACAAAGGACCACUUAUGAUUCCAUUUAAACAAAGUGUAUAAAGUAGAAAAUGUAUUGAGACAAUAGAUUGUGGUUGUUUAGGGCUUACAAAGUUUGGGGUGAUGGGGGCCCGAGGUAGUGACAGCUAAAGGGUGCAGUUUCUUUUUGAGGCAAUAAAGUUCUAAAAUGUAUAGUUGCACGUUUCUGUAGAUACACUAAAAUCAAUUCAGUUGUGCAUUUAAAUGAGUAAAUUGGUAUGUGAAUUGUACCUCAAUAAAUCUGUUAAAACCAUAGUAAUUAGGAUAUUGUAAUACUGGCUUAGAGAUGGAAAAAUUGAUUUAUAAGGAAUCCUGAUUGUAAGGAAUCUUGACUUAUGUCAGAGAUGGCAUUGCAUACCAGCAGGGAAAGCUAGAUCAUUUCAAUAGAUGACGCUGCAUAUUCAUAUGGGGGAAAAAUGAAAUUGGUCCUCCCUACCUAACACCAUACAGAAAAAGUAGUUUCAGAUGACUUUAAGAUGUAAGUGUGAAAGGAAAACAUAGUAAACCUUCAAAAGAAAGAUUGCAAAAUAUUUUUAUGAUCUUAUGGUAGGGAAAUGUAAUAUGUAUAAAGGAAAACAUGUAUGUCCAAUAUGUUAAAGUUAAAAACCUCUGUUCAAGACUCCAUAAACCCUCAGAAUAGCGGUUAAUUUCAGUCAUGCCCAGGAAACAUACAAGAUGAGCCUGGAAUACCUUGUGCAAGAUAGCAAGGAAGCUAUUAGAGACUACGAGGGUGUCAUAUCAAAUGGACUCAGGAGACAACUGAAAAGCAUCCUUCUGGCCAUAGAUGAGACCAUUUGAGUGUCAAUAAGGACAGUAAAUGCAAUUGAUUGGAACAUAUCAAGUGUCUUUAAAUCUGAGUACAUAAUGAUUGUAAAACAAACAGCAUUUAGUUGGUCAACAGUAGAAGAUGCUGUUGCAUCAAUUCAUUAUUUUGAAAAUCAGUUUUGUUUUGUUUUUAAAGUAAUUAGGCAUUUGUCCUGCCUUUUGUAUGUGAACUGUAAGUAACCACAUAGUAGAUGAGGAGAGGGUUCUCUUUGUACAUGUAUUCUAGCUAAUAAAUGGAGGAAUGAUAGAAAAUUGCCAUUUUGAAAUUCCUAAUGAACAAAUGGAUUUAUUUAUUGCAUUUCAACAGCUGCUAACAUGACAGACAAGAAAACAUAUGUUUCUUAAUGGAAAAACACCACUACUGAUGUUAAAAUCUUAUCAAAAAUUUGACCCUGAUACUAAUCAGGUCUUUAGAUCCAUCCAAUUUGCAGAAAAUAUAAACACCAUUAAAACUUUAAGCCAAUGAAACCUACCACAACGUAAUAUUUUGGAAUGGAAAAUAUAAAUGAAAAAUCCAAUUUUGGAGAAUAUUGGGACAAAUUAAUUUCAACAAAUAUGUUGCAGGAGAAAAGGAGACGAGAAGGACAAGUGGAGAAAACCGUAGAUUACAAGAGACUUAGUUCAAUAUGAAGCAACCUGUGAACUUGGAUUAGUUAUCUUACUGUAUAACAAAUCACCCUAGCUUAAAUCUAAAAAUAUUUAUACACUUUCUUAGGAUCCACAGGUGGUUUAGCUAGAUGUUCUGGCCCAAGGUCUCAUGAAUUUGCAGUCAAGAUGUUGGCUGGGCUGUAGUCUGAAAGUUUGACUGGUGUUAGAGGAUCCACUUCCUAGAGGGCUCAUUCGUAGAGCUGCCUGUGUUUUCUCACAACAUGGCAACUGGCUUUCUCUAGAACAGGUGAUCCAAGAGAGAGACAGAAACCAUGAUCAUUCAGAGUGAUGUAACAUUACUUCUACUAUAUAAUGUUAGUCACACAGACAUUUCCCUGACAAUAUGUGGGAGGAGAUUACACAAGAGCAUGAAUACUGGGAAGCUAGCUGUCACAAUUUGGCCCCAAUGAUUGAUAGUUCUUGAUUUGCAAAAUAUAUUCAUCCCCUCCAAAAGCUCUCCAAAGCUCUCAUCCUAUGACACCAUUAGUUCAAGGUCUAGAAAUCUAAAUCAGUUCCAAUUGUGGAUGACACUCAUAGGUGUACUUAAGUACAGCUCCUCAAGAAGAGUUCUUUUUGAUCUGAAGACUCAUACACUAAAGACACAGUCUCUGCUUCCACAUGUAAUAGAAAAUGAAUAGGAUAAUAAAUGUGGACAUGUAUAUUUAAAAAGAGGGAAUAUUGGAGGUACAUAGGUUCACAGAAAUUCUGAAACCCACCUGGGCACAGAUUGGCAGUUGCUUGGUCAAGUUUCAAGGCCUAGAAUUCUCUUAGCUCUGCCUUCUGGGAUCUUGGAUCUACUCACUGAGUCACCCUUUCUUUUUCUUGUUUACACUUCUGCCUGCUUUCUGCCUAUAGAAGCUUGGAUGUCCCACAAGCUUCUUUCCAUUUGGUUCUCUCUGUGCCUUUCAGUCCAGGCUGGCCAUGUUUCUGCUAAUAGACUUCUCUUAAAAACUUUGUGGCUCACUUGUGAAUUUUGAGUUCACUCCAUCAGACAAAAGCAACAACCACACAUCUCGUCCCACAUAAACUCUGCCUCAAGCUUUUGCUGAUGAAAAUACCCUUAAACUUUUUAAAAACCUGUGAUGUUAUUCAGAGAUUUUCUGAGACACAUCGUUUGUCUGAUGAAAAUACUCUGAGGCACAACUUAAGAUCUUUCUGAGCUAUUAAAGGACUUUAUAACUACAGCCUCAACUUUAUGUUUUACUGGCAGUGCCCUAGAUUUGCUUUUUGCUCAGAGAUAUUCCCCAAUUUUAGCACAUUUGUCAUCUGCACAGGCUGGGAAUCUUCAAAUCCAGCAAGUUUUGACUUGUUUUUGUUUGUUUGUUUGUAAUAGAGUCUGUUUUUUGCUGUGUUGGCCAGGUGAUCUUGGACUCCUGGCUUCAAGCAUUCCUCCCACCUCAGCCUCCCAAAGUUCUGGGAUUUUAGGUAUAAGCCACCAUGCCCAGCCAUGGCUCCUUUUUGUUUAACAGUCCUUACUUUGAUGGUCUCUCUUCUCACACAUUUUACUAUCAGCAACAAGAAAAAAUACACAUGAAAUAUUUAACACUUGGCCGGCAAUCUCCUUUGCUAGAUCAAUGAGUUAAUUAGGCAUUUUUUCUACUUUGUACAUAUCUGUGGAUAACAAAUUUGCUAAACUUUCUGCCAUUAUGUAACAAGGAUCUCCUUCCCUCUAGUUUCCAAGAAGAGUUUUCUAAUCUGUUAAGAUGUCACCUGCAGCCUCCUCAAAGGUUAUCUAUUAUGCUUCUAUAAAAAAUUUCUUCAAAGCUCUUCAAACUUUCAUUAACACUCUCCUCCAAGUUCUACCUUCUGUUCACUGCCAGUUUUAAAACCACACUUACAUUUUAGGUUUUUGCUAACACCCCACUUCUGAGUACCAAAAUGUAUACUGAUUUUCUAUUGCUGCAUAAUAAACUGCCCCAAAAUACAACAUGCAAAGCAAUAAAUAUUCAUUAUCUCAUGUAGUGUCUGAAGGUCAAAAAUCCGGAAGCAGCAUAGCUGAGUGGUUCUGAUUCAUUGUCUCUUGUGAAGUUAUCAGUCAAACCAUCAGCUGAGACUGUAAUCAUCUGAUGUUUUAACUAGUACCAGAGGAUACACUUUCACAUGCUAUUGGCAGGACACUUUAGUUCUUCACUAGCUGUUUAGCAGAAUACCGCACUUCCUCACCACAUGUACCUCUUCAUAGAGCUUCCUGGCUUCCUCUAAAACAAGUAAUCCAAGAGAGAAGCAGAAGCCACCAUGGUUUUUUAUGCCGUUGUUGACCUAGCCCCCAAAGUGACAUAUUAUUACACAGAUAUGUAGCCAACCUGUGGGUCACUGAUACGGUUUGGAUGUGUGUCCCCUCCAAAUCUCAUGUUGAAAUGUGAUUCUCAGUGUUGGAAGUGGGGCUGGUGAUAGGUGUUUGGUUCAUGAGGGUAGAUCCCUUAUGAAUGGCUUGGUGCUGUCUUUGUGGCAAUAAGUGAGUUCUCACUAUCUGAGUUCACACAAGAGCUGGUUGUUUAAAAGAGCCUGUCAUCUCUUUUGCUCCCUUUCUCACCAUGUGAUAUGCUGCUCCCCUUCUCUUCUGCCAUGAAGAAAAGCUUCCUGAGGCCUUCACCAGAAGCAGAUGCUGGUGCCGUGCUUCUACAGCCUGCAGAACUGUGAGCCAAAUAAAGUUCUUUCCUUUAUAAAUUACCCAGCGUCAGGUAUUGUUUUAUAGCAAUGCAGAACAGACUAACACAGACACACACACCAACCAAGUACAGUAUGAGAAGGGAUUAUUGGGUGCCAUUUUGGAGGUUGUCUACCACAGGAUUUUAUCUGUAUCAUUAUUCAAAUUUCGUUUUUGAAAAAUUUUGUAAGGGCACAUUUAUAGAAAUAUGAAUGCUUAAUAUUUGAUGAUAUUAGGGAAUUAAACCAUUUUUGUGUGAUAGUAAUUUUUAAAGAUUCCUUAUCUUUUAGAAAUACAUAUUGAAAUAUUUAGAGAUGUAGUGAUAUAAUGUCUGGGGUAUGCUUCAAGAUAAGAGUUGCAGAAAGUGGGUGGUAGUAUAAAUCAAGAUUGGUUAUGAGUUGAGAAUUUUUGAGUAAUAGGUAUAUGGGGACUAAGUAUUCUAUUCUUCAUACUUUUACAUGCCGUAAAUCCCCACUUAUCUGCAGGGAAUGUGUUCCAAGACCCCCAGUGGAUGCCUGAAACUGAGAAUAGUACUGGACCCUGUAUAUACUGUGUUUUUUCUUUCCUUAUUGAGAACUUUUAUGUUUUCACUUAAAGGAAGGACUUUACAGCUUCUCUUUCGCAUAUCCAAAUUGCCAGCAUCACCGCUCUUGCACUCCAAGCCAUUAUUAAGUAAAGUAAAGAACACAAACACUGUGAUACUGCUACACUUGAUCUGAUAACCAAGAAGUCUACUAAGUGACUAACAGCAGAGCAACUGGGAACCUAAUUCUGACCAAAAAGGAGGAAUUGUUUGGCUAAUUGGAAGUGACAGAAACCUUGGGAGAAAGCAACCGCAUACCAAGGAUAAUUAUAAGAAGAAGAGAAGACAUGGAGAAGAGGAGGGAGUAGUUGUGACCGUGGAGGCAGAGAAUGGAGUAAUGUGAUCAUAAAUCAAGGAAUGCUGACAGCCACUAAAGCUGGAGAAGGCCAAGGACAGAUAUUCAAUCCUCCCGUAGAAGUACAGCCCUGCUAAUGCAUUGAUUUUGGACUUCUGGCCUCAGAACUGUAAGAGAAUAAAUUUCUAUUGUUUUAAGCCUUCAGUUUGUGGUAGUUUGUUACAGAAACCCUGUAAAGUUAAUACACAGAGUUCAAAGAGAAUCCGGUAAUAUCUCUAAAAGACUCGUGUAUUAGUCAGGAUUCUCCAGAGAAGCAAAGCCAAUAGAAUGAUACAUGUUGUUAAAGCAAAUUAAAAUGGAGACCAUGCCUGAAGAAUCUCUGUGCAGAGAAACCCAGUUAGGCCUCAUAAGUUAACCUUACUUGAUUUGCAAACAUAAUCUAAAAGUUAACUGGAGCUAUUUCCGGUAAAUGAAUAUAACACAACUUAAGCUCAAUCAGUCAGAAGCAGCUUUAUAAUUAUGUAGCUAGGGACUUUCCAAGAGGAUGACCAAAGAAGGAAAUGAUAUAACUAUAACCAAAUAAAUAUUUUCUUUGCUUUCCUGUUCCUCCUAUAAAAGCCUCCCCACUGCUGAGCUGUGCUCAGCAGAGCUCCGAAACAACUUCUGGUUUAGAGUUGCCCGAUUUGUGAAUCACUGUUUGCUCAAAUAAACUCUUUAAAAUUUUAUUGUAUCUCAGGUUAUCUUUUUUAGAUAGAUAGAUGAUAUAUGAUAGAUAGAUAGAUAGAUAGAUAGAUAGAUAGAUAGAUAGAUAAUAGAUAGAUAGAUAGAUUAUUUAUUAUGGGAAUUGGCUCAAUCACAGAGACCCAAGAUCUGCCGUCUGCAAACUGGAGAACCAGGAAAGCCAGUGGUGUAAUCAAGUUCAAAGGGCUGAGAACCAGGAGAAUCAAUAACUUAAUACCCAAUGUAAUAAGGCCUGAGAAUGUGGGGUAGGGAUGCUAGUAUAAGUCCUAGAGUCUGACUACUGCAGAACCAGGAGUUCUGAUGUCCAAGGGUAGGAGAAGAUGGAGGUCCUAAAUCAAGAAUAAAGCAAAUUCACCUUUUCUUUGCCCUUUUUGUUCUAUUUGGGCAGGCCUCCAGUGAAUUGGAUGAUGCCCACCCACACUGGUAGAGCAGAUCUUUAGUCAGUCUUGAUUCAAAUGCUAAUUUCUUCACAGAGGCACACAGAAAUACUGUUUUAUCAUCUAUCUGGAUAGCCCUUAACACAGCCAAGUUGACACAUAAAAUUAACCAUCACAAUUAGGUUUUCCUGGGUUGGAAGGAAUGGGAGAUAAUGAAACGGGUGCUGGAGGGUAGAGGAGGUCUGAGGGACUUCUUGGCGGGACUAUGUGAACCAGAAUGGAAUGAGCAAAUUACAGACCCCACAGUCUCUGCUCUGACAGAGAUUGCCAGAGUUUGAAAUAGACCUGAUAGGGUUACUACAGGUUACCAGAACCGGGAAGUCAUGUGGCAGCCAAGCUAAUAUCCAAAGAUCACCCAAAGAGUAUUUCAUGUGAUCAGGAAGAGUCUCUGUUUAAUUGACAACUGCUUCCCACUUCCCAUCCCCUUCACGUGUAGCAGGAGUCACAGCUGU
rnacentral:lncRNA from 1 species